GUGCAAUUCACUUUGGCAGCACAUAUACUAAAAUUGGAAUGAUACAGAGAAGAUCAGUAUGGCCCCUGAGCAAGGAUGUCCUUCAAGAAAUUUAAUGCUGUAUAUAUGAUU